GGGCCAGACUCCUACGGGAGGCAGCAGUGGGGGAUAUUGCACAAUGGGGGGAACCCUGAUGCAGCGACGCCGCGUGGGUGAAGGAGUAUUUCGGUAUGUAAAGCCCUAUCGGCAGGGAAGAAGCAAGACGGUACCUGACUAAGAAGCACCGGCUAACUCCGUGCCAGCAGCCGCGGUAAUACGGAGGGUGCGAGCGUUAAUCGGAAUUACUGGGCGUAAAGCGCUCGUAGGCGGUACGUCAAGUCAAGGGUGAAAUCCCCGCGCUCAACGUGGGAACUGCCUUUGAAACUGGCAAACUGGAGUGUGUGAGAGGAUAGUGGAACUCCAGGUGUAGGAGUGAAAUCCGUAGAUAUCUGGAGGAACAUCAGUGGCGAAGGCGACUAUCUGGCACAUAACUGACGCUGAGGAGCGAAAGCGUGGGUAGCAAACAGGAUUAGAUACCCCCGUAA
rnacentral:rRNA from 1 species